rnacentral:ncRNA from 1 species
UAUAAGACGAGAAGACCCUGUGGAGCUUAAAAUUACAACUUAAAUUAAUUUAUACUAUACCCUAAGGGAUUAAUCUUACAAAACUUUUUAAGCUGAAUUUUUGGUUGGGGUGACCUCGGAGCACAAGCAACCCUCCGAAUGACAUAACUAAGACUAACACAUCUAAGUGCAACCUAAGCCAGUAAUUGACCCAAAACUUGAUCAACGGAACAAGUUACCCCAGGGAUAACAGCGCAAUCCUAUUUAAGAGCCCAUAUCGACAAUUAGGGUUUACGACCUCGAUGUUGGAUCAGGACACCCCAAUGGUGCAGCCGCUAUUAAAGGUUCGUUUGUUUCAACGAUAAAGUCCUACGUGAUCUGAGUUCAGACCGGAGAAAUCCAGGUCGGUUUCUAUCUAUA